rnacentral:rRNA from 1 species
GGCGAACGCUGGCGGCGUGCUUAACACAUGCAAGUCGAACGGAAAGGCCCUGCUUUUGUGGGGUGCUCGAGUGGCGAACGGGUGAGUAACACGUGAGUAACCUGCCCUUGACUUUGGGAUAACUUCAGGAAACUGGGGCUAAUACCGGAUAGGAGCUCCUGCUGCAUGGUGGGGGUUGGAAAGUUUCGGCGGUUGGGGAUGGACUCGCGGCUUAUCAGCUUGUUGGUGGGGUAGUGGCUUACCAAGGCUUUGACGGGUAGCCGGCCUGAGAGGGUGACCGGCCAUAUUGGGACUGAGAUACGGCCCAGACUCCUACGGGAGGCAGCAGUGGGGAAUAUUGCACAAUGGGCGGAAGCCUGAUGCAGCAACGCCGCGUGCGGGAUGACGGCCUUCGGGUUGUAAACCGCUUUCGCCUGUGACGAAGCGUGAGUGACGGUAAUGGGUAAAGAAGCACCGGCUAACUACGUG